AUGUGGAUCCUGUGCGACGAGGUUCUGUGAACCAUGUCAGGCGGGGAACCGAGCAGCAUUAAGCGGAGUGCCUUGUGUGCCGCAGGUAAUCUGCAUCCC
rnacentral:SRP_RNA from 1 species